GAUGAACGCUGGCGGCAUGCCUAACACAUGCAAGUCGAACGGAGUUGGAGGUAGCUUGCUACUGACAACUUAGUGGCGGACGGGUGAGUAACGCGUGAGUAACCUGCCUCUAAGAGGGGGAUAACGUUCUGAAAAGAACGCUAAUACCGCAUAUAAUUACGAAAUCGCAUGAUUUUGUGAUGAAAGGAGCAAUCCGCUUAGAGAUGGACUCGCGUCUGAUUAGCUAGAUGGUGGGGUAACGGCUCACCAUGGCGACGAUCAGUAGCCGGACUGAGAGGUUGAACGGCCACAUUGGGACUGAGACACGGCCCAGACUCCUACGGGAGGCAGCAGUGGGGGAUAUUGCGCAAUGGGGGAAACCCUGACGCAGCAAUGCCGCGUGAAGGAUGAAGGUUUUCGGAUUGUAAACUUCUUUUGUUAAGGACGAUAAUGACGGUACUUAACGAAUAAGCUCCGGCUAACUAUGUGCCAGCCGCCGCCGUAAUAC
rnacentral:rRNA from 1 species